rnacentral:rRNA from 1 species
CCUACGGGGGGCAGCAGUGGGGAAUAUUGCGCAAUGGGCGAAAGCCUGACGCAGCGACGCCGCGUGAGGGAUGAAGGUCUUCGGAUCGUAAACCUCUGUCAGCAGGGAAGAACGGUCACUGUGCUAAUCAGCAGUGAAUUGACGGUACCUGCACAGGAAGCACCGGCUAACUCCGUGCCAGCAGCCGCGGUAAACCGGAGGGUGCGCGCGUUCAUCGGAAUUACUGGGCGUAAAGCGCUCGUAGGCGGUAUGUCAAAUCAAGGGUGAAAUCCCCGCGCUUAACGUGGGAACUGCCUUUGAAACUGGCAAACUAGAGUGUGUGAGAGGAUAGUGGAAUUCCAGGUGUAGGAGUGAAAUCCGUAGAUAUCUGGAGGAACAUCAGUGGCGAAGGCGACUAUCUGGCACAUAACUGACGCUGAGGAGCGAAAGCGUGGGUAGCAAACAGGAUUAGAUACCCUUGUAGUC